rnacentral:rRNA from 1 species
ACGCGAGGAACCUUACCAGGUCUUGACAUCCUCUGACAACCCUAGAGAUAGGGCGUUCCCCUUCGGGGGACAGAGUGACAGGUGGUGCAUGGUUGUCGUCAGCUCGUGUCGUGAGAUGUUGGGUUAAGUCCCGCAACGAGCGCAACCCUUGUCCUUAGUUGCCAGCAUUUAGUUGGGCACUCUAAGGAGACUGCCGGUGACAAACCGGAGGAAGGUGGGGAUGACGUCAAAUCAUCAUGCCCCUUAUGACCUGGGCUACACACGUGCUACAAUGGAUAGAACAAAGGGCAGCGAAGCCGCGAGGUCAAGCAAAUCCCAUAAAUCUAUUCUCAGUUCGGAUUGUAGGCUGCAACUCGCCUACAUGAAGCCGGAAUCGCUAGUAAUCGCGGAUCAGCAUGCCGCGGUGAAUACGUUCCCGGGCCUUGCACUCACCGCCCGU